GUUACAUCUCCUGCCUGUAAGUGCUGAUGGCACUAAAGAAGGUCAUUCCUCCAGAGCUGCUCUCUGAUGAAGAAGAGAUAUACGUCUACAGGGUAAAUACAACACACACACAACACCUUCCGUAUCACUUUGACCAUGAUGGUUUUUCUCUCAGAUCCUGGAGAUGGUGGAUUUCAGGGUGACAGAUGGACUUACAGACCUGGCUCUUUGCUGUGGUUGCGAGCCUGGAGCAGAAAAUAGCCACCAUGGAUGUAUUUAUGCGUUCCCUGAUAAGCAAAAUGGACUUCCAUUCUUUGGCAUUAAAGCUAUACAAAGCAAAGCAGCUGUUCCUGCUGGAGGUGUAGACAGGGGGUGCUGUGGCCCAGCAGGGCUGUAUCAGCGCAGAGCAGCUCUUAGUGGAGCUCAAGGCUGGGGGCAUCCGACCAGAACAAGAGGAAGCCAUCAAAAAGGAGCUCCGACACAUCAGCUCCCUGGACCUGCUGGACUUCCUGGCGUACCUGCCCCUCUUCGUCCUAAUCCACAACUCAGUCAUCGCCAACCCACUGGAUGACUCCAGCAACCUGUGAUGUCAUCGGCUACACAGGCUUGAACUCUAUCUGUCAUUAGCUACCACACACUGUGGCAACAGGGUUCCAGGGUUCCCUUUAUAAAACGAUAGCUAAUGCACUUACAGCUGUUUUUGAGAUGUUCUUUUGGGGGGGGGGGCACAUUUCAUGUAACAAGGUCGACAUUCUGAGACAUUUCUUCAAAAGGACUUUGGAGAUACCCUUUGGAAUAUGCAUUUAUAAAUAGCCUACUGAAGGUGGACGUCUAAGCUUGAGAAUGGUGCUGUCUAUGGUACUGAAAUAUGCAGGGAUUUUCAGUUGCGGUUCAUGCUGGAUCAGUAAUGCACUGAAUAGGGACAUAACACGUUUAGACUCCAGUUAGACAAGGGAUACACAAUUGAUGCUCAUGGGGGACCAAAUCCUAAAAUGCAAGAUGCAGGUGCAACUUCGAACUUUUGCACAAAUUAAGCAUUGAUUUAAUGCAUGAUUUAUGCCAAACCUUUGUGUGGGUUUUUAAGAUAGGGGUGGUGAAUAUAAUGGCUCUCCACCGCUUUAGUAACUGAGUAAUGUGGCAUUAUGAAAAUAAAAUAAAUGAAGCAUGACCUAACCUAAAUCUCCUAUGUGUUUUCAAUCAUCUCCCUCAGCUUUAAGUGAGAGGGUCCGGCAAGAAAUUACAAAUUAGAUAUGGCAGUUCUUUAUUUAAUUUCCCUCAGGCUUGACAGAGUUGGGGAGGAAAGCGUUAACGCACUCUGACAGGCGGUCACGGAAUUGUUCGGACCAUUCAUUGCUGUUUUCGGGUAGCUGUGUCAUAGAAAUUCUAUGAUGCCUAAUAAGGGUAUCAAAGAGAGCUAUAACAUAUUGCCUGUCGCUUUUGUGUCUUGUGCCCUUCUUGGUAAGCUCUAUUUUUAUUUUACCUUUUAUUGUAACCCUUUCCUGCAGUCAAAUMAUCAAAUCGCCCUCUAGUGCAAUCAUGGGUGGAAUGUUAUUAUUUUUUCAUAAUUUUUUUUUUUUUUUAAUUACAACGAAAAUUCUGUGU